UAGCGUAGGGUGCAAGCGUUAAUCGGAAUUAGCUAGGGCGUAAAGAGUGCGUAGGCGGCUAAUGUGAAGACAGAUGUGAAAUCCCUGGCUUAACCUAGGAACUGCAUUUGUGACUGCAUGGGCUAGAGUGUGGUAGAGGGAGAUGGAAAUUCCGCAUGUAGCAGUGAAAUGCGUAGAUAUGCGGAGGAACACCGGUGGCGAAGGCGGAUCUCUGGGCCUUAACCUGACGGCUCGAGGCGCGAAAGCUAGGGGAGCGAACAGG
rnacentral:rRNA from 1 species